UGCUUUCCUAUGGGGAGGGCCAGGUGAGGAGGUGGAGCUGCAACCCAGCGUCGAGGGAGAUCGGUGCUGGAAUCGGGUGAGUAAACAUAGUUGUUUUUUUUAACCCUUUUCAUGACAGAGGGUGGGUGGGCUAGAGGGAACUUUAGUGUAAGGAAUACAACUUUGUAUUAGUUACACUAUAGAAUCCCUUCAAGUGUUGCACUGUGCAAUUGCGAGUGGCAUUGUUUUAGGUCUGCUGUGUCUGUUUUCAAUGAGAAGAGAAAGGAGAAAAAAAAAUUAAAACUAGACUGGUGUCCUGAGGCCAUUUAU